AACGAACGCUGGCGGCAUGCCUAACACAUGCAAGUCGAACGAGACCUUCGGGUCUAGUGGCGCACGGGUGCGUAACGCGUGGGAACCUGCCCUUAGGUUCGGAAUCACUCCCCGAAAGGGGUGCUAAUACCGGAUAAUGUCUUCGGACCAAAGAUUUAUCGCCUUUGGAUGGGCCCGCGUUUGAUUAGCUAGUUGGUAGUGUAAAAGCCUACCAAGGCGACGAUCCAUAGCUGGUCUGAGAGGAUGAUCAGCCACACUGGGACUGAGACACGGCCCAGACUCAUACGGGAGGGAGCAGUGGGGAAUAUUGGACAAGGGGCGAAAGCGUGAUACAGCAACGCCGCGUGAGUGAGGAAGGCCGUAGGGUUGUAAAGCUCUCUUACCCGGGAUGAUAAUGACAGUACCGGGAGAAUAAGCACCGGCUAACUCCGUG
rnacentral:rRNA from 1 species